CACCCUAGCGUGCGGAUGGGAGACCAGUGAAAUAAAAGCUCCACCAGGAGAAAAAGUUUUCUCUCCGAGCAGCUGCUGCUACAAGGAGCUUGCUCAUUAACUAAUGUAAGCCAUGCACGUUAUUCACUACUACUAAUAUCAACUUAAAUGCAACGUGCAAUUUGCAAAGAAAUAUUCACAUUUGAGAGGAGAUUAUUUUAAAAAAUAAAUACUUGCAAAAGUGUGUGUGUGUGUGUGUGUGUUUGUGUGAUGAAAGGGUCAUACAGGAUGGAGAUUGAUAUCAAUAAAUUGUAACAACAGCACCAAAGAUAGGAUGAUAAAUGAAGGUUUUAUUUCUGGUAAGUGUGUAGGUUACAUGAAAUAUAUGUACAUAUGAAAAUACGCAUGUUUCAUUGCAAAAUAUUUGCAAAAUUAAGCUUGGUAUGCUUAGUUCAUUAAUUAUUUUAGAUUUUAGUUAUGAUUUUCAUUAUUAUUUUUUCUUUCUUUUCAAGUUACAUAUUCCGUCUUACUGCAACAUUGUCUUACAGCGGAAAGUGAAAGUAACUCGACCAAGAGAGAAAAGUUUCUUCCACUAGUAGCUCCAACAAGGAGCUCGCCCACCAACUAAUGCAAGCAUGUUCUUCAGGGUCGUGCAGGAAGGAUGGUGAAAUUUUAACAUUAGCUGCGAAGAUAUUUAAGUUUAAAGGAGCCAUAUCCUUUGGCUCCACGCCGAGAAGCAACAGGUGCUGUGG